UGGAAUCCGCCACGCUGCCAUCUUUGUCGUCUCGUAUGCGUCCGGCGGUUACACCACGCAGUUACACGGUGCGCUCGGCGUCUCAGCGUUUGGAAUUUAAUUGUGCUUCACGCGCGCAUCUCGCGUCCAGGUCGCCUCGCGCGGGCCACACGAUGAGUACCGACAGUAUUGAAAAGUUGUACAAGAACUUCGGCAUCCUCGCCGACGCCAAGGAUAAACUGGUGCAGCAUGAGAAAGAAUACCUGGAAAUUCUGACGGCAGUUAAAGGAUCGCCUAAGGAGAAACGACUGGCGUCGCAAUUCAUUGCUAGAUUCUUCAAGCAUUUCCCGAAACUGGCGGAUCAGGCUAUAGACGCUCACUUAGAUCUGUGCGAGGAUGAAGACAUGGCUAUUCGGAAACAAGCUAUUAAAGAUCUACCGGCUCUUUGUAAAGAUAAUAAAGAGCAUACGGCGAGAAUUGCAGAUAUCCUGGCACAAUUACUGCAAGCCGAGGACUCUUCAGAGCUAGCAGUUGUACAUAACAGUAUUAUGUCGCUUAUGAAGAGUGAUCCCAAAGGUACUUUAAGCGGAUUUUUUAGCCAAAUCAUUAAUGGCGACGAUGGGACGAGGGAACGUUGUAUAAAGUUUCUGGCUACCAAACUCAAAGCGAUAGGACACGACAUUAUCACGAAGGAACCAGAAGAUUUGUUGAUUGCAGAAUGUAAAAAAGUAUUGCAGGACGUAACUGCUGACGAAUUUCAUAGCAUCAUAGAGAUCCUUGCGUGGACUAGAUUGGGAUCUACCGUUACUGGCCAACAAGAAUUGAUUGACAUUACGAUAGAACAAGCUGAACUAUCAGUACCUUUUAAGCACACUAAUAUUGAACAGUGGAAUAGAUUAGUGCAAUGCGUUAAACAUGCUCUUCCGUUCUUCAGUUCGCAGAUAGACUCGUCAAAAUUCGUCUCGUACAUUUGCGUGCAAGUUCUACCACACCUCUCCUUGAUGACUUCUCCCGAUGGUAGAGAUAUUCAACUGGAACUGUUAAAAUUGCUUGCUGAAUUAACCGUGUUUUGUGGAACUAUUGAAAAACCCGAGGAUAAAGUUCAACAGCUCUACAAUACCCUUAUCACCUACAUGCCGCUUCCUCCAGCUACGGACAUUACUGACGUACCAAAGUUGCAAUUUAGUCACGUGGAGUGUCUAAUGUACGCUUUUCACAAACUGUGUAAGCAGACUCCUGAAUUUUUGAUUAAGGACCCAGAACAGCUGAAGGAAUUCCGAUUGAGAUUACAAUACUUUGCGAGGGGCAUUCAAGGCUAUAUAAAGAAAUUACGUGAAGCUAUCAGUGGAAAGACAGAAGAGGAAUUGAAAUCUGAGGAAAAUCAGUUAAAGGUCGUGGCACUGAAAACAACCAACAACAUCAAUACUUUAAUCAAAGAUCUGUUUCACUCGCCUCCUAGCUUUAAGAGUGUUAUACAUCUCUCAUGGAAAACGUCUUGCAACGACAAAAAGAGCGAUAAAAAUUCUACUCAGAAGAGACACACACCGAUUACAUUUGGAAAUGACAGCAGUCCGAAUAAACGUAGUAAGGAAGAUAAGAACAACAAAAGAGAAAUAUACACACCUCCUAGUGGCAAGUACAGUUCGAACAUAUCAAAUUAUGGUCGUGGUAGAUUUAAAGGUAACAGACCUAGAGGAAGAGGAGGAUUCAGGACAAGAGGUCGUGGCCCAUGGCGAAAGAAUUUUUAUUAAUCCAUAACAUGCAUUACAAUUAUAUAAUAUAAUAGUUUAUCACUUCAACUUUGCAGUCAAAAAACGUAAUAUGAAAUUGUGAAGAAAAUGAAACGUAUGCAAUACGAUACAUACGAAUGUAUUAAGAAAAUUAAAAAGAGGACACUUAUUGGUCGGCAAAUCUCGUGAAAGUGUUGGAACUUUAUAUGGGAAAAUGAAGAAAGAAGACUUUGAGACACAAGGCAUGUCAAGAUGGUAUUAUUUGAGGAGAAAUUGAAGAAGAUGAAGAUGGAAAUGUCACGCUGUUACCAAACUGAAACUUACUCGCGCAAUUGAAUCGCGAGGCAACAUCGACACACCGAUCACAGACGCAUGGUUAUGGAGAUAGAAAGCAGUUCCUUCUUUAUAAAAAAAAGAAACUUGAAGAUUACAAAAAUACAAUCUCCCGUAUCCAUUCCUAAAUUAGCUUCCCUUCCUUCGAACCUUUAUAUUUAUUGAUACCUGUUAUAUAUUUAUCUGUUGACACAGGGUCGAGCCGUGCUUAACAGAGGGAGUUCGAAAGCAGCCACGCAAUAACAGUUUGAUCGAAGAAACACCAAAUAUAAUAAUUUUCUAUCUGUAGGAGAAACAUACGGGGUGAGUCAUACAUCGUUUUGCAAAACUCGUAAGAAGGUAGAACGGACUGACAUAAACGAAAAAAGGUACCACUUUACGAUAUUAUCAAUAGACGAGAAAUUAAUUUUUUAAAUCGGACGAAGAGUCGCUGCCCGCGAGCUUACAUCGCGCCGCAAAUUCGCUAAAAUUCACGUCGCGACGGCCGGCUACUUCUCUCGGCGCGCACUUAUUCGUCCGACUUUAAAAAUUAACUUUUCGUUUGUUAUUUGAGAAUACCGAAAAAUGCCACGGGGCUUUUUCGUUUAUCUCAGUCCGUUCUAUCUUCACGCGAGUUUUGUAAAAAGAUGUAUGAUUCAACCUGUACACAUGUAUACAUGUCUGUACAUAAGUGCGCAUACGUAAAUUUGCAUAUACAAUUAAAAAAUUUUCUACUCUUUGAUUUUCACAAAUAUGUAUGAGAUUCAAACAAUAUUGCUUUAUAUAUAUUAUAUGAAAUUAUACAACUCCUAAAAUACGUAGUUUUAGCAUACGUUCAGCUGUGAAAAAAAAUGACAAAACAUGAUUUUGUGUUUCUUCGAUAAAUAAGACCAAUUUGGAGCAGCGAUUAUUAUAUUGUUUUUCUUUUGCAGGAAACGUACAUAUUAACGAGAGGCUUGGAAAUUGGGAGAACUAGGCCCCGGCGUAAUAAAUCCAUAUUUAGAUGUGUAUAUAUAUAUAUUUUUUUCCUGUUUUCCCACUACAGAAACCUUUCAGAAACGAACGCGGAAACGGGGGCUGCUGCCUGGAGAAACUAAUUAAUAUUUUUCUUCCAGGAGCUCUCAUGAUGGACAUUAUUGUGUUUAUUAGCAUAUAUAUAUCUGUGUAAUAUGUCUCCUUCAUGUGAUUGCUGUUUGUGAGGUGAGUUCAAAAAGUAUUCUUCCAUCUUUCCUUUCCCUCUAUCCAUCAUUAUCAUGUAGAAACAUUUCGUGUUAUCUAUAAAAAAAAACCAAUUCGUCAAUAUGUUUUUAAUUAUUUCAAUAAAUAACAUUAUUUAAUACUGUGUGGUGUUCUUUGACCCAGUAAGUGUAAGAAGAGAAAAUAAUUAAACCAAAUAGCCGAAGUGAGUUAGUAAGAACAAAUUUGAUUCCGAGACGAGCAGACUAGUUAGCUGUACGUAUGUGUCUGCGUCAGUUUCCGAUCUGUCUUAUCUUUAAGCUUUACCGUCGCAUUAAUACGCCUAUAAUCUAGAUCUACCGAUACGCCUAUGUAAGAGCCAGUAUCGUAUUUGUAUUAAAUGCGCUUAAUUUUGCAGAAUCACAUGUAUCUAAUCUUACAAUUAGUCUUACGAAAUCUAGAAUACACGGGUUAUAUAUAUAUAUACAAAACUUGUCAAACUUGUGUAUAAUUAACGCAUGAAGAAUAAAAUAUAUAAAUUUUAAAGC